rnacentral:rRNA from 1 species
GCUAAAAAUCUAGCCCCUCCUCCCCUUAUCCCUAACCUUUAUUUAUUACAUUUUAAUUAAAACAUUUUAUCAAUUUAGUAAAGGCGAUUAAAAAAUUUGUCGGAGCAAUAAUUAUAGUACCGCAAGGGAAAGAUGAAAUAAAAAUGAAACAACUCUAAAGCACAAAAAAGUAGAGCUUAAUUCUCGUACCUUUUGCAUCAUGAUUUAACUAGUCUAACCAGGCAGAAAGACUUUUAGUUUGACCCCCCGAAUCUAAGUGAGCUAUUUUAAGAUAGCUUUAUGAGCAAAUCCGUCUCUGUUGCAAAAGAGUGGAGAGAUCUUAAAAUAGAGGUGAUAAGCCUAACGAACUUAGUGAUAGCUGGUUGCUCAUGAAAAGGAUUUUAGUCCCGCUUAAAGACACUUUUAUUAUUCAAAAUACCUUUAAAGUAAUUCAAAUAAGGUACAGCCUAUUUGAAAAAGGAUACAACCUCAGCCCCUGGGUAAUUUCUACGAAUUUAUGACCAAGUAGGCUUAAAAGCAGCCAUCUUAAACAAAAGCGUCAAAGCUUCCCCAUUCGUUCACACAAUUUCUCCACCUUCCUUCAACCCACAACUUUUAAAGAGCAACUCUAUACUACUAUAGAAAAUUUUAUGUUAGAACUAGUAAUAAGAAGAAAAUUCUUCUCUUUAAUGUCAGUAUAAAUCAGUAAGGACCAUCCGCUGAUUAUUAACGUUCCUAAUUCCACAGUAAUAACCGACCAAGAAAAAUUUACUUAACCUCACGUUAACCUAACACAAGAACAUUCUAAGAAAGAUUUAAAGAAAAAGAAGGAACUCGGCAAAUAUAAGCCUCGCCUGUUUACCAAAAACAUCGCCUCCUGACUAUAAAUAGGAGGUCCAGCCUGCCCAGUGACAUUGUUCAACGGCCGCGGUAUCCUAACCGUGCGAAGGUAGCGUAAUCACUUGUUCUUUAAAUAAGGACUAGUAUGAAUGGCUUCACGAAGGCUUAACUGUCUCCUUUUUCUAAUCAAUGAAACUAAUCUCCUCGUGAAGAAGCGAGAAUAAAACUAUAAGACGAGAAGACCCUAUGGAGCUUUAAACAAGAAAGAUAUUUACUUUUCAUUUCUUACCUUCCGAAAUUAAAACAUAACCAAGUAUUUUACCUUCAGUUUUAGGUUGGGGUGACCACGGAGAAUAAACCAUCCUCCAUGCUGAAAGAAAUUUUCAUCUCUUAGCAAAAAGUUACAACUUUAUGCAUCAACAAAUUGACUUUCAUUGACCCAAUAAUUUGAUCAACGAACCAAGUUACCCUAGGGAUAACAGCGCAAUCUAUUUCAAGAGCUCAUAUCGACAAAUAGGUUUACGACCUCGAUGUUGGAUCAGGGUACCCCAGUGGUGCAGCCGCUACUAACGGUUCGUUGUCAACGAUAAAAC